AUCAGGGGGGUUCCAAGGUUUUUAUUCGUUUAUUAUUGAUCCUCUAAUAUCCAGGACUUAUUUGCAUUUUCAAUUUUCACGUAAAGCAAGUAAUUCGAAUUUUUCUAGGUCAAACUCGUGCCAGCAACCGCGGUUAUACGACUUAAAAUAAAAGACUAAACCAUAAUCUCUUUAUCUUCAUUACUCUUCAUUAAUAAGAUUGUCUGGUGAAAUAAUCUUUCUUAUUUUCUAUAAAGUGUCUCAAGAGAGAUAAACGUAGGACUAAAACUAGGAUUAGAUACCCCACUAUUCUCCCCCCUAAAAGGUAAAUGUCAACCCAUCCCAUUUGGCGGCCUUCUAUCUUAUUAAAGGAACUUGUUGUUUGAUCGAUGGUACGCGAUACUUUUAGCUUAAACCUGAUUUUUAUACCGCCGUCCAAAGGAUAAAAUUAAAUAUUUUAUACGCCCCAUACCACUCAAGCAAAAAUGUCAGGUCAAGGUGAAGUCAAUGUUUAAGUUUCAAUGAGUUAUCAAUAAAAAUAAUUUAUGGACUUUUGUUUAAAAACAAAAAUCGAAUUAAGAUUUAAAAGUAUUUUCAGUUCAAUACACUAAAAAGAAUAAGCAAAAAAGGUGUACAUAUCGCCCGUCGCCCUCGUCCAAAGAUGAGGUAAGUCGUAACACAGUUAAUGUACUGGAAAGUGCAUUAAGCGUAA
rnacentral:rRNA from 1 species